GAACUUGCGGAAGGAUCAUUA
rnacentral:rRNA from 1 species